GACGAACGCUGGCGGCGUGCUUAACACAUGCAAGUCGAACGGUAAGGCCCUUCGGGGUACACGAGUGGCGAACGGGUGAGUAACACGUGGGUGAUCUGCCCUGCACUUCGGGAUAAGCCUGGGCAACUGGGUCUAAUACCGGAUACGACUACUGGCUUCAUGGUUGGGGGUGGAAAGCUUUUGCGGUAGGGGAUGGGCGCGCGGCCUAUGAGCUUGUUGGUGGGGUAAUGGCCUAACAAGGCGACGACGGGUAGCCGGCCUGAGAGGGUGACCGGUCACACUGGGACUGAGAUACGGCCCAGACUCCUACGGGAGGCAGCAGUGGGGAAUAUUGCACAAUGGGCGCAAGCCUGAUGCAGCGACGCCGCGUGAGGGAUGACGGCCUUCGGGUUGUAAACCUCUUUCAGCUAUGACGAAGCGCAAGUGACGGUAGUAGCAGAAGAAGGACCGGCCAACUACGUGCCAGCCGCCGCCGUAA
rnacentral:rRNA from 1 species